rfam:Picea glauca, whole genome shotgun sequence.
ACAUCCAUGGCCGAAUGGAUAAAUCCCCCAACUCAUAAUUGGUGAAAUCACAGGUUCAAUUCUUGUUGGAUGCA